rnacentral:rRNA from 1 species
UACGGAGGGUGCAAGCGUUGCUCGGAUUUACUGGGCGUAAAGCGUACGCAGACGGCCACGCAGGUCGGGUGUGAAAGCCCCGGGCUCAACCCGGGAAUUGCAUUCGAAACCAUGUGGCUCGAGUGUGGGAGAGGGUAGUGGAAUUCCUGGUGUAGAGGUGAAAUUCGUAGAUAUCAGGAGGAACACCGGCGGCGAAGGCGGCUACCUGGUCCACAACUGACGUUCAGGUACGAAAGCGUGGGGAGCAAACAGG